rnacentral:tRNA from 1 species
UGGAGCGGUGGGUGAGUGGCUUAAACCAACGGUUUGCUAAAUCGUCGUAUCCGUAAGGAUACCGGGGGUUCGAAUCCCCCCUGCUCCGU